CAGACUGCAUAUAUCUACUUGUGCUUCAAUUACGCAACCCUACAUCGUACCAUUAAUUACGAUCAUUAAUGGGAUGAUAUAGAAUACUGCAGUUCCGCGACGUAGGGAAUACCUCGAUAACGUAACUGCAUUUUCCGCAAAAGUUGACUUUGUAGCGCAAACGUAGAAAAUAAUAACAAAUUGUCAAUCUGCAAAUCUGCUGGCCAAGAACAAUGACUCUGUGCUGGAAGAAUGUCCGUAUUAUUUCUGUUUAUAAACUCUAUUUAUAAACUGCAUUUAUGAAAUGCACGAGAGAUACAGUAAAAUAUAGUUAUAAAUAUAAAAUAUAAGUAGAAUCUACAAUAUUAUUAUUGCUAAUUAUUUUUAAAUUUAAUUGUUACUAGAUGCUCCACAACUGUCGAUUAGUUAUUAUAAUACUUACUAGGACUGUUCUAAUCACUCGAUGUAGACACUAUUACAGUUUAUCUGCUAAACGUUAUUAAUACGUAAAUACUAACAAU